rnacentral:rRNA from 1 species
AGAGUUUGAUCCUGGCUCAGGAUGAACGCUGGCGGUCUGCUUAACACAUGCAAGUCGAACGGAAUCCUUAGGGAUUUAGUGGCGGACGGGUGAGUAACACGUAAGAACCUGCCUCUAGGACGGGGACAACAGUUGGAAACGACUGCUAAACCCGGAUGAGCCGAAAGGUAAAAGAUUAAUCGCCUAGAGAGGGGCUUGCGUCUGAUUAGCUAGUUGGUGAGGUAAGAGCCCACCAAGGCGACGAUCAGUAGCUGGUCUGAGAGGAUGAUCAGCCACACUGGGACUGAGACACGGCCCAGACUCCUACGGGAGGCAGCAGUGGGGAAUUUUCCGCAAUGGGCGAAAGCCUGACGGAGCAAGACCGCGUGGGGGAGGAAGGUUCUUGGAUUGUCAACCCCUUUUCUCAGGGAAGAACACAAUGACGGUACCUGAGGAAAAAGCAUCGGCUAACUCCGUGCCAGCAGCCGCGGUAAUACGGGGGAUGCAAGCGUUAUCCGGAAUGAUUGGGCGUAAAGAGUCCGUAGGUAGUCAUCCAAGUCUGCUGUUAAAGAGCGAGGCUUAACCUCGUAAAGGCAGUGGAAACUGGAAGACUAGAGUGUAGUAGGGGCAGAGGGAAUUCCUGGUGUAGCGGUGAAAUGCGUAGAGAUCAGGAAGAACACCGGUGGCGAAGGCGCUCUGCUGGGCUAUAACUGACACUGAGGGACGAAAGCUAGGGGAGCGAAUGGGAUUAGAUACCCCAGUAGUCCUAGCGGUAAACGAUGGAAACUAGGUGUGGCCUGUAUCGACCCGGGCCGUGCCGAAGCAAACGCGUUAAGUUUCCCGCCUGGGGAGUACGCACGCAAGUGUGAAACUCAAAGGAAUUGACGGGGGCCCGCACAAGCGGUGGAGUAUGUGGUUUAAUUCGAUGCAACGCGAAGAACCUUACCAGGACUUGACAUCUCUGGAAUCUCCUUGAAAGGGGAGAGUGCCGUAAGGAACCAGAAGACAGGUGCUGCAUGGCUGUCGUCAGCUCGUGUCGUGAGAUGUUGGGUUAAGUCCCGCAACGAGCGCAACCCUCGUCGUUAGUUGCCAUCAUUAAGUUGGGAACUCUAGCGAGACUGCCGGUGACAAACCGGAGGAAGGUGAGGAUGACGUCAAGUCAGCAUGGCCCUUACGUCCUGGGCGACACACGUACUACAAUGCGAGGGACACAGAGCAGCCAACCCGCGAGGGAGAGCGAAUCUCACAAACCCUGGCACAGUUCAGAUUGCAGGCUGCAACUCGCCUGCAUGAAGGAGGAAUCGCUAGUAAUCGCAGGUCAGCAUACUGCGGUGAAUCCGUUCCCGGGCCUUGUACACACCGCCCGUCACACCAUGGAAGUGAGCCACGCCCGAAGUCAUUACUCUAACCCUUUCGGGGGAGGAGGGUGCCGAAGGCGGGGUUGAUGACUGGGGUGAAGUCGUAACAAGGUAGCCGUACCGGAAGGUGUGGCUG